CACUCUCAGAUACCCACUGGAUUGACGAUUGCUUUUCAUCUCCGUUUUCUUGCUCCAAGCGAAAUCCAAAACCAGCUAGUUUCCAUUUCAUUGGUGCUCCCUCCCAAUCACCAGGGAGGAGGUAAGUUGGUCGUUGCAACGAACUUCGCCCCACCGAACCUCGUUCAAUUCAGCCCAAGUCUAUCGGUGUCAUUUCGGUGACCAAACUGGACGUUGGGCUGGACACGAACGGUUCGGGGUUGGGGGACAGUGGAUUAAUGGCUGGUUUAGUACAGGACCACCCCUCCCUCGGGAUUGACGAUAUAAAUGAAGAAAAUCAGGAGAAGUUGUUCAACAAGGACAUCGUAGAGCGAGAGAGUGAAGGGGAGAGAGAGAUGUCUCAUGC